UACGUAGGGUCCAAGCGUUGUCCGGAUUUAUUGGGCGUAAAGAGCUCGUAGGCGGCUCAGUAAGUCGGAUGUGAAAACUCGGGGCUCAACCCCGAGACGCCAUCCGAUACUGCUGUGGCUUGAGUCUGGUAGGGGAACACGGAAUUCCUGGUGUAGCGGUGAAAUGCGCAGAUAUCAGGAGGAACACCGAUGGCGAAGGCAGAUGUUCUGGGCCAGUACUGACGCUGGAGGAGCGAAAGCGUGGGUAGCAAACAGG
rnacentral:rRNA from 1 species